UACGUAGGGUGCGAGCGUUGUCCGGAAUUAUUGGGCGUAAAGAGCUCGUAGGCGGUUCGUCACGUCGGCUGUGAAAUCCCGAGGCUCAACCUCGGGUCUGCAGUCGAUACGGGCGGACUUGAGUACUGCAGGGGAGACUGGAAUUCCUGGUGUAGCGGUGAAAUGCGCAGAUAUCAGGAGGAACACCGGUGGCGAAGGCGGGUCUCUGGGCCGAUACUGACGCUGAGGAGCGAAAGCGUGGGGAGCGAACAGG
rnacentral:rRNA from 1 species